CAGGCUGCAACUCGCCUGCACGAAGUUGGAAUUGCUAGUAAUCGUGGAUCAGCAUGCCACGGUGAAUACGUUCCCGGGUCUUGUACACACCGCCCGUCACACCAUGGGAGCCGGUAAUACCCGAAGUCAGUAGUCUAACCGCAAGGAGGACGCUGCCGAAGGUAGGAUUGGCGACUGGGGUNAAGUCGUAACAAGGUACC
rnacentral:rRNA from 1 species